GAGUUUGAUCGUGGCUCAGAUUGAACGCUGGCGGCAGGCCUAACACAUGCAAGUCGAGCGGAUGACGGGAGCUUGCUCCUUGAUUCAGCGGCGGACGGGUGAGUAAUGCCUGGGGAAUCUGCCUGGUAGUGGGGGACAACGUUUCGAAAGGAACGCUAAUACCGCAUACGUCCUACGGGAGAAAGCAGGGGACCUUCGGGCCUUGCGCUAUCAGAUGAGCCUAGGUCGGAUUAGCUAGUUGGUGGGGUAAUGGCUCACCAAGGCGACGAUCCGUAACUGGUCUGAGAGGAUGAUCAGUCACACUGGAACUGAGACACGGUCCAGACUCCUACGGGAGGCAGCAGUGGGGAAUAUUGGACAAUGGGCGAAAGCCUGAUCCAGCCAUGCCGCGUGUGUGAAGAAGGUCUUCGGGAUUGUAAAGCACGUUUAAGUUGGGAGGAAGGGCAGUAAGUUAAUACCUUGCUGUUUUGACGUUACCGACAGAAUAAGCACCGGCUAAC
rnacentral:rRNA from 1 species